rnacentral:rRNA from 1 species
CCUACGGGUGGCAGCAGUGAGGAAUAUUGGUAAAUGGACGAAAGUCUGAACCAGCCAUGCCGCGUGCAGGAAGACGGCUCUAUGAGUUGUAAACUGCUUUUGUACAAGGGUAAACCUGAAUACGUGUAUUCAGCUGAAAGUACUGUACGAAUAAGGAUCGGCUAACUCCGUGCCAGCAGCCGCGGUAAUACGGAGGAUCCAAGCGUUAUCCGGAUUUAUUGGGUUUAAAGGGUGCGUAGGCGGAUUGAUAAGUUAGAGGUGAAAUGUCCGGGCUCAACUCGGGAACUGCCUCUAAUACUGUUGAACUAGAGAGUAGAUGCGGUAGGCGGAAUGUGGGGUGUAGCGGUGAAAUGCUUAGAGAUCAUACAGAACACCGAUUGCGAAGGCAGGUUACCAAUCUAUAUCUGACGUUGAGGCACGAAAGCGUGGGGAGCAAACAGGAUUAGAUACCCCAGUAGUC